UUAAAAGCUUUGGGAAAUUAGUGCACAGUAAAUUACGGUGUGAAUUUACUGUGUACCAACCACCCCGCACGAACUCAUCAUGUGGACUGGCAGAGAAAAAGGAUUAAACUCCCUUAAAUUAUCUCACAUUUGCCAUGGACAGACAGCUGCCAUGGAUCAGCUGACACGUGGCAACUUCUCAACCUGCAGCGAAUCCGUGCAUCGGCUGUGGAAAAACAGAGUGAGAGAAAAAGUGGUGGGCAUCAUCUGAAGCAAUCUACUGCGUCCCUUCAUGACGUGCCUGCUCUGAAUGAAUCAGGAGGUCAUGGUGACUCUUGUAGAGAUGGUCUCUGCUGGAGCUGGAGGAGAUGAUGGAUUUGAAGAGAAAGUCUGUGGAUGUUUCCAGAAAUGAGCAAGAGGUGCAGCAGGAGCCCUGUGACAAGGACUUUAUGAGAAGAUGGAUUCUUGUGUUUUAUCCAACCAGUCUGAGGAGGCUGCUGUGCGGAUGAGGAGAGGGAAGGUGUUACACACACCAGGCAGGCUGGCAAAGGAGAAAGGUGAUUAAGCUGGACUCUUAGACAUUUAAUUUUUAAUUUCAAGGAAAAGCUUUCCCAUGACAACAGAGUGCAUAGUUUCAAGGUGAAAUUCAGCCUAGGAAAGACCUAUGGACUGGCACAGAAAGUGUGAAAUACCACGUGAGCUCUGC